rnacentral:rRNA from 1 species
UACAGAGGUCUCAAGCGUUGUUCGGAUUCAUUGGGCGUAAAGGGUGCGUAGGCGGCGCGGUAAGUCGGGUGUGAAAUCUCGGAGCUUAACUCCGAAACUGCAUUCGAUACUGCCGUGCUUGAGGACUGGAGAGGAGACUGGAAUUUACGGUGUAGCAGUGAAAUGCGUAGAGAUCGUAAGGAAGACCAGUGGCGAAGGCGGGUCUCUGGGCAUCUCCUGACGCUGAGGCGCGAAAGCGUGGGGAGCAAACGGG